UGCAUGUGUACGUGUGCGUGCGUAUGCGUGUGUGUGUGUGCGCGUGUUCAUAGGAGCGUUGCAGAAAGAAAAAAAUAAAAGAGUCCUGUGCAGGAAAACAUUCGAGUCCCAGGCGUCCAGUUCCAGGCUGCCACGGUAACCGCUGCAAGGCCACGGACUUACAUUCCACAUAUUUACACAGAAACAGUGAUUUAUUUAUGAAGGCAGCCUGCUGAAGGCUCUGCAGUCUUUAGAGAAAAAAAA